UACGAAGGGGGCUAGCGUUGCUCGGAAUUACUGGGCGUAAAGGGCGCGUAGGCGGACAGCUUAGUCAGAGGUGAAAGCCCAGGGCUCAACCUUGGAAUUGCCUUUGAUACUGGCUAUCUUGAGUUCGGGAGAGGUGAGUGGAAUGCCGAGUGUAGAGGUGAAAUUCGUAGAUAUUCGGCGGAACACCAGUGGCGAAGGCGGCUCACUGGCCCGAUACUGACGCUGAGGCGCGAAAGCGUGGGGAGCAAACAGG
rnacentral:rRNA from 1 species